GGUUAAGUUAAUAAGGGCGCACGGUGGAUGCCUUGGCACUAGGAGCCGAAGAAGGACGUGACAAACGACGAUAUGCCUUGGGUAGCUGUAAGUAAGCGAUGAUCCAGGGAUUUCCGAAUGGGGGAACCCAACAGGUACUACCUGUUACCCAUAUCUGUUAAGGAUAUGAGGAGGAAGACGCAGUGAACUGAAACAUCUAAGUAGCUGCAGGAAGAGAAAGCAAAAGCGAUUGCCUGAGUAGCGGCGAGCGAAACGGCAGGAGGGCAAACCGAAGAGUUUACUCUUCGGGGUUGUAGGACUGCAAUGUGGAUUCAAAGAUUAUAGAAGAAUGAUAUGGGAAGAUCAGCCAAAGAGAGUGAGAGCCUCGUAUUUAAAAUAGUCUUUGUACCUAGCAGUAUCCUGAGUACGGCGAGACACGUGAAAUCUCGUCGGAAUCUGGGAGGACCAUCUCCCAACCCUAAAUACUCCCUAGUGACCGAUAGUGAACCAGUACCGUGAGGGAAAGGUGAAAAGCACCCCGGGAGGGGAGUGAAAUAGAACCUGAAACCGUGUGCCUACAACAAGUUCGAGCCCGUUCAUGGGUGAGAGCGUGCCUUUUGUAGAAUGAACCGGCGAGUUACGAUAUGAUGCGAGGUUAAGUUGAAGAGACGGAGCCGUAGGGAAACCGAGUCUGAAUAGGGCGGAUUAGUAUUAUGUCGUAGACCCGAAACCAUGUGACCUACCCAUGAGCAGGUUGAAGGUGAGGUAAAACUCACUGGAGGACCGAACCAGGGCACGUUGAAAAGUGCUUGGAUGACUUGUGGGUAGCGGAGAAAUUCCAAACGAACUUGGAGAUAGCUGGUUCUCUCCGAAAUAGCUUUAGGGCUAGCGUCGACAUCAAGAUUCUUGGAGGUAGAGCACUGUUUGGGUGAGGGGUCCAUCCCGGAUUACCAAUCUCAGAUAAACUCCGAAUGCCAAAGAAUUAUGGUCGGCAGUCAGACUGCGAGUGCUAAGAUCCGUAGUCGAAAGGGAAACAGCCCAGACCACCAGCUAAGGUCCCAAAAUAAUUGUUAAGUGGAAAAGGAUGUGGGGUUGCACAGACAACUAGGAUGUUAGCUUAGAAGCAGCUAUUCAUUCAAAGAGUGCGUAAUAGCUCACUAGUCGAGUGACCCUGCGCCGAAAAUGUACCGGGGCUAAAACAAUUUACCGAAGCUGUGGAUACCUUUAUGGUAUGGUAGGAGAGCGUUCUAUGUGUGGAGAAGGUGUACCGUGAGGAGCGCUGGAACGCAUAGAAGUGAGAAUGCCGGUAUGAGUAGCGAAAGACAGGUGAGAAUCCUGUCCACCGUAAGACUAAGGUUUCCAGGGGAAGGCUCGUCCGCCCUGGGUUAGUCGGGACCUAAGGAGAGACCGAAAGGUGUAUCCGAUGGACAACAGGUUGAUAUUCCUGUACUAGAGUAUGUAGUGAUGGAGGGACGCAGUAGGCUAACUAAAGCAGACGAUUGGAAGUGUCUGUCUAAGCAGUGAGGUGUGAAUUGAGUCAAAUGCUUAAUUCUAUAACAUUGAGCUGUGAUGGGGAGCGAAGUUUAGUAGCGAAGUUAGUGAUGUCACACUGCCAAGAAAAGCUUCUAGCGUUAAACAUACUCUACCCGUACCGCAAACCGACACAGGUAGUCGAGGCGAGUAGCCUCAGGUGAGCGAGAGAACUCUCGUUAAGGAACUCGGCAAAAUGACCCCGUAACUUCGGGAGAAGGGGUGCUGACUUUCAGUCAGCCGCAGUGAAUAGGCCCAAGCAACUGUUUAUCAAAAACACAGCUCUCUGCUAAAUCGUAAGAUGAUGUAUAGGGGGUGACGCCUGCCCGGUGCUGGAAGGUUAAGAGGAGUGCUUAGAGGUAACUCGAAGGUAUGAAUUGAAGCCCCAGUAAACGGCGGCCGUAACUAUAACGGUCCUAAGGUAGCGAAAUUCCUUGUCGGGUAAGUUCCGACCCGCACGAAAGGCGUAAUGAUUUGGGCACUGUCUCAACGAGAGACUCGGUGAAAUUUUAGUACCUGUGAAGAUGCAGGUUACCCGCGACAGGACGGAAAGACCCCAUGGAGCUUUAC
rnacentral:rRNA from 1 species